CUCCCCCCAUGCAACAGCGUAACAUAGCGGGACGCGCCCGCGGAGGUGAGGCGGCGGCCCGGAGCGGGGCAGGAGGGGCUCCUGGACUGGAGGUGGCAGUUGCUGGGUUCCCGGCCGUAGAGGGCGGGGAGAGGACUGGGCUGUUCAGCGGGGUCUGGAGAGCGGCUCGGAGACUCCCGUCUCGAGAACUGCCUUCCUCCCUGGUCGCUCUCCGGGGAAUCGAGGCUCUUGCCUCUCCGGCUGCCGCGUGUUUCAUUUAGUUUCCGGCUUCCGUUCGUCUGCGUAGCCGCUUGUCUUACAGUCACGGUGCUUACUUACCACUUACGAGCAUUGGCUGUUGGUCGUCUCCCAGCAGGAGCUCAUAAGGUCUGGCAGUUGCUGACUGCUGCUGCCGGAAGCCCACUCGUGGAAGGAUCUGAGUACCUACAUAAUUCUCAGCUGGACUAGGGACAUAGCGCUGUUGGGGUUAGGAAGAUAAAUUAGAAAUUUAAAUUGCCCUUGCUUUAGUUUCCUAGGGCUGUGAUAACCAAGUAUCGCAAAUUUGGUGGCUUAAAACAACGCGUUUAUUAUCUUACAGUUCUGGAACCAGGAAGUCCGAAAUGAAGGUGUCAGCAGGAUUACGCUUCCUCUGAAACUCUGGGUAAAAUACUUCCUUGGCUUUUCCUAGUUUCCGGUGCUGUGCACCCAUCCUAGGAGUUCUUUGACUUGUAGCUGCAUCUUUUGGAUCUCUUGAAGUUUCUCCUAUGGUGUUUUUCUCUGUGUAUCUGUGUUUCUUCUUAAAAGGUCACAGCCUUCUUGGGCAAAGGGCCUACCUUACUCCUGAUCUUAACUAAUUACAUUUACAAUAACUAUUGCCAGAUAAAGUCACAUUCUAAGGUUCUGGGAAGGUCGUGAAUUGGGGGAGAGGGGCGUGACACUGACCAACAUAGUAUAGCUGUCAGAGAGCUUAAGGAGUUGGCAAGCCAAAAGCUGACAGUAAUUUGCUGUAGCACAUGUGAACUCAGACAUAGUUCAAUUGGAUCUGAGAACUUUUCAUGGGUAUUUGAACUAUUCCCUUGAUAGGUGGGUAGGAUUUGGAUGUGCCAUUGUAGAUCAUAUAUAGCAUUCUAAGCAAACAAAAAUCACAGGAAAGCACAGGUUGAAAUGUAAAAUAGGUUAAAGUUGGAAGGAUUUUGGGGCGCUCCGGGUGGCUCAGUCGGUUGAGCGUCCGACUUCGGCUCAGGUCACGUUCUCACGGCUAGGCUCGUGAGUUCGAGCCCCAAUUCGGGCCCUGUGCUGACAGCCAGAGCCUGGAGCCUGCUUCCGAUUCUGUGCCUCCCUCUCUCUCUGCCCCUCCCCAGCUCGUGCUCUGUCUCUCUCUUUCUCUUUCAAAAAUAAACAUUUAAAAAUUUUUUUUAAAAUAAAGUAGGAAGGAUCUUGAACGUUUGGAGUCUGUUGUGUAUGUAAAAUGAGCAGUAUAUCAAAGUGUUUUGGCAGAGGAGUUGUGCUUGAAGAUUAAUUAGCAACUGGAGUCAAACCUACUUUGUGUUUCUCAGUCCAUUUUAAGAAGUCUUAAAUCCUGGGGCACCUGGGUGGCUCAGUCGGUUAAGUGUCUGACUUCAGCUCAGGUCAUGAUCUUGCGGUUUGUGAGUUUGAGCCCCACAUCAGGCUCUGCUGACAGCUCAGAGCCUGGAGCCUGUUUGAGAUUCUGUGUCUCCCUCUCUCUCUCUGCCCUUCCCCCACAUACGCUCUGUCUCCCUCUCAAAAAUAAAUAAACAUUAAAAAAGAGAAAAAGAAGUCUUAAAUCCUAUUCUCUGAGCAUAUCCUGUGCUUUUUCAUCCUGGUCUUUGCUCAUGCUGUCCCUUCUUACUGGAGUGCUUCCAUUAAGGAGAGUUGUUCAGCUCAUAAUGUUAGCAUCCCCUUAAUACCAAAACCUGACAAAGAUAGCACCAGAAGAAAAAACUGCCCAACUCCCAUCAAUACAAAGCCCUAAAAUAAAAUAGUAGCAAAUUCAGUCAUGCCCUCCAUCUGGAAUGAAAGAUUUUAUCCCAGGAAUGAUUUAACGUUAGAAAGCCUGUUGCUAUAAAUCACUGUAUUAAUAGUUUAUAUGAGGUUAAAUCUGUAUGAUCUAUAUGAUCAUCUCGAGCGGUAAAGUGUUUUUUGCAAAUAUUCAAAACCUACUUUGAUUUCAAAGAAAACAUUGAGCAAAAUAGGAGGGGUGCCUGGGUGGCUCAGUCAGUUAAGCGUCUGACUCUUGAUUUCCACUCAGGUCAUGAUCUCAUGAUUGUGAGAUUGAGGCCUGUGUCAGCCUCUGUGCUGGAGCCUGCUUAAGAUUCUUCCUCUCUUUGCCCCUGCCUGCUCGUUUUCUCUCUCCCUCUCUCCUUCCCUCUCUCCCCCACCUCCCAAAAAUAAGUAAAUAAAACACUUAGCAAAAUGAGAAUAGACAAACAGCAACUUGAUAAAAGGCACUUAAAAGAAAUCUAUGGUAAAUGUCAUACUUAAAUGAUAAAACAAUAGAAGCAUUCUCUUUAAACUCAGGAAAAAAUGGAAUAUUUACUUUCACUUCUAAUAUUCAACAUGGUGCUAGCUUUCUAGCCAAAGUAAUAAAACAGGGAACAGACAAAAAUGUUAGGAAAGGAGGAAGUGAAAAUAUUAUUUUUGGAUAAUGUAAUUUUGUUUCUGGAAAAUGGAAAAGAAUGAAAUUACAAAAUUAUUAGAAUUAAAAGGUUCAGCAAAGUGGCUAAAUGAAUACAGAAACUUAAAUUUUUUUGUAUAUCAGUUAUAAAAUGGGGGGGGGGGGAAGAACCCAAUAUGAAUACACUGCACAAAAGAGACUUCUUUAUGAGAAAUAUGAAAUAUCAUUAAAAGACAUUAAGGGCGAGUAAAUGGACAUUUCAUGUUCCAGUAUGGAAAAUUCAGUGCUUUAAAUAUAUCAGUGUAUCAUAAAUUAAAAGGUUUUGGUACAGUACCUGCUAAAAUACUGAUAGAAUCUCCAAGUAAUUCUCUUUGAUCAAGUAUAUUAUUCUUUGGAUACACUGUUGGGUGCCAUUUAUUGAUACUUUAUAUAGAAUGUAUCUUUUAUUAGUGAGACUGACACGAAGGGGAGCUUUUUUGGUACUGUAUUAAUCAGAUGUUGAUAUUUAAAAUUAUACUAGAUCCCUUAAAAUAACUUUAGGGAGCAUUUUAUAUUUUACUACGUUCUGAAAUAAUUUAAGUGACUUUGGAAUUAUCUGCUCUUUUAAGACUGAAUAGAGAAAUCAAUUGCAAAAUCCUAUUAUAUGAUGUAGUUUUACAUGGUAGAAUUUAUAUAUAAUGUGUCCACUCUCUUCUGUGAUCAUUUAAAAAGUCAACUUUUUGGGUUGCUUGGGUGGCUCAGUUGGUUGAGUGUCUGACUUGAUUUGGGCUCAGGUCAUGAUCCCAAGGUCAUGGGAACGAGCCCCAUGUCAGGCUCUGUGUUGAGCAUGGAGCCUGCUUAAGAUUCUCCCUCUCCCUCUACCCCUCUCCCCAACUUGGGCGCGCGCUCUCUUUCUCUAAAAAUUAAAAAUUAAAAAAAAUUAAAAUUCAACUUUUCUGUGGGGGAGGGAUCAACCUUAAUUUGUAUUUUGCUUGGAAGUCCUCCAUUUUCAGCAGAUUUUCCAAAUUAGUUGUCAUUGUAUUGUGUAUAGAAUUCUCUUGUGAUUCUUACAGUCUGCUCUGCACAUGAGGUUGUUUUCUCAUUCCUAACCUUACAUAUUUUUGUUUUCUUUUUCUUGAACCAGGCUUGCAAGAGGAUUUGUCUCUUUUUGAAUGCUUUUCAACUCUUACUUACUGUCUUCUGUUUUCCAGUUUAAGUUUUUGUCACAGUUCCUCUUCCUACUCUCUUGUUCUUUUCCCAUUUCUUAAUAUUAGUCUAAGAGCCUUUAUUUUUUUAAGUUCUUUCAUUUUUAUUUCAUUUUUGAUGAAGACAUUUUAAGGCUAUAAAUUUGCCUCUAAAUACAACUCGUUCCAUAGUUUUUGGUAUAAAGUGUUCUCUUUUUCAUUGCUUUUUACAUAUGUUGUCAUUUUUUUCUUUGAUCUAAGAGUUAUCCAGGAUUGGAUGUCAUUUUUUCAAAUACUUAAGCUUUUCAAUCCAUUUCUUUCUUCAGUUUUAUUGAGAGAUAAUUGACAUACAUCACUGGGUAAGUUCAAGUGCACAGCGUGAUGGUGGUCAUGUUUGUAUUAUUUUCCAGUUUUGUGGUGACCAGAGAAUUAGAUUCGGUAUGUUUUAGUUAAGAUAUUCUUCUUUGGCAAGUACAUAAUCAAUGAUUACACAUUUCAUGGGUGUUAAAAUAUGUAUAUUUUCUACUUAGAAUUAAAAGUUUCUAUGCUAUAAAUAAGUAUGUACAUAAAUAAAUAAAAGUUCUAUGCGGGGGUGCCUGGGUAGUGCAGUCAGUUAAGCAUCUGACUUGGGCUCAGGUCAUGAUCUUGUGAUCUGUGAGUUCGAGCCCCCUCUUGGGCUCUGUGCUGGCAGCUCAGAGCCUGGAACCUGCUUCGGAUUCUGUGUCUCCCUCUCUCUCUGCCUCUCCCCUGCUUGUGCUCUGUUUCUCUCUCUCAAAAAGAAAUAAACAUGAAAAAAAAAAUUUUUUUUUAAGUUCUAUGACUCUUUCAUCAGGUUUACUGGUUUUAGUAUUCAGGUUUAUUGAUUUUAGAAUUUAGUUCUCUGAUACAUUUCCUAGGUCAGUCUGAUUCUAGAAGAGGUGUGAUUAAGAUUUCCACCUUGGGGCGCCUGGGUGGCGCAGUCGGUUAAGCGUCCGACUUCAGCCAGGUCACGAUCUCGCGGUCCGUGAGUUCGAGCCCCGCGUCAGGCUCUGGGCUGAUGGCUCGGAGCCUGGAGCCUGUUUCCGAUUCUGUGUCUCCCUCUCUCUCUGCCCCUCCCCCGUUCAUGCUCUGUCUGUCUGUCCCAAAAAUAAAUAAAAACGUUGAAAAAAAAAAAUUAAAAAAAAAAAAAAAAGAUUUCCACCUUAAAUGUAUUUUAAACAAUCUUUUUUGCAUUUCUGGAAGAUCUUUUUAUGUAUGUAACAUUAUGUCACUGGUUCAUACAAGACUGUGCCCUGUCUUUGUAAACUAUGCCUUCUAUAAGAUCCUUUUUAUCCUGUUUAAUGCUUUCAACUUAUGUCUGACCAAUAUCCCUUUCUCUGAUGUUUUUGUUUUUUUGUUUUUUAAUUUGAGAGAGAGAGCAAGUGGAGGGGGGGGUAUGCAGAGAGGGAGAGAGAAUCUUAAGCAGGCUCCACACCGUGGAGCCCAGCACAGGGCUUGAUCCCAUGACCCUGGGAUCGUGACCUGAGCCAAAAUCAAGAGUGCUCAACCGAUGCUCAACCGACUGAGCCACCCAAGUGCCCCUCCCCGUAUCUGAUGUUAAUGUUACCAUUCCUUCUUUUGUUUACUUCUGUCUGGUAAACUCAUAGCUCACCUCUUUAUUUUAAAUCUGUUCGUUUCUAGUAAAAGAAAAAAUUGUACAUGUAACAAAUGAUCAAUCUGGGUUAGUUUUUUCACCUGGAAAGCCUAGCAGUAACUAUGCAGAAGCCAGCUGCUGUGCUGAGAGGAUCUGCAGGUGCAUGGAGGCUUAGAGCUUGUACAGUUUUACGUUUCAAAAGGAAACUGAAUGUCACGUUGAUGUCAAACAGUAGUUCGCCAUAACGUGAUAGCGCUGUUGUCAAAUACUAAUUCGAGGAAAUCACAAGCGGAUUUGCGGGAAGUCGUGGAUUAUUGGACUUUGCCUUAGUAAAGAUUAUUUUCCUUCCAUAAGUAUUUCAGGUGUCCUGGGAAAGGUUCUGAGGUUACUAAAACCCAGGCCCGCUAUCUCCUUGCUUUCCCUUUCUCCCCUGCCAGAAAUCAGCCUGCCUCUUCACAUCCUGCCUCUGGGCUGCCCGCCUAUAGUUCUGAGUUACCAGAAGCUAAUAUGGUCUGAGGCCCAGCUGGGGCUUUUGCCGUGCAGGGGAGGAGGUUGUUAUUUGUACUGGAAGCCUGGAGGCGAGAGGGUGAGCUCGGGAGGGCUUGAGAACGGGAGGCAGAACACCUCCAUUCGUGUUAGUCUCUGGUCCUCCCGGUGAUAGCCGGCUGGGACUUCCGGGACCAAAAGCGCGUGGGCCCUCUUCACAGCUUCCCUCCGUUUCCCACGGAAGAGGCUGCAGGUUGGGACCAGUGCCGCUUCCCUCCCUCCCGCGGCUCUUCUUUCUACUUCCUGCCUCCGUCGGGAAUCACGUGGUCGGGUUUGAGUUCCUGUGAUCCACCUCCCUUCCGUCCUCUGUAACUCAGGGACCUGGAGUGGUGAGAGAAACGUUGGCAUCAGGCUUGGAAGACUUGCUUUGUAGAGAGCAAAGCGGAAGCGCAGAAUUACCUCUACCCCGUGACUGCGUGAGCUUUGUGGAAAGUGUUCCCAUAAUUCGUUACCUGUAAACUUGAAUCAGUGUUUGUUUGAUUUCUCUCAGUGCUGAGUAGAAUCUGAGAACAGGAGUGACACCUGGAUGAGUAAAGGUGGUGCAGACGGGGCACCCGGGUGGCUCGGCCGGUUUCGGCUCAGGUCACGAUCCCACAGUUGAGGAGUUCAAGCCCUGCGUCGGGCUCUGCGCUGAUGCCACUGAGCCUGCUUGGGACUCUCCGCCUCCCCUGCCCCUCCCCCGCCCCUCCCCCACUUGCACGUCUCUGUCUCUAAGUAAAUAAAUCAACUUUAAAAACAUUAGUGAAAAGAAGAGCAGCUUUCCCGUGUGAGAAAUACAGGGGAUGGUGCCCGGAUGCUUGGUGUGUGACAGUGUUUUUCAGAUGAAUUUCAGAUACUUGUGUAAACGUGGGGGCGUGAGGGAGACGAGAACAGAGCCCAUUUUGACAGCAGGUGCUGCCAGUGCGUGGGAAGAGCACUCAGGCAAGUGACUUAAGUGCCGCGUCCUUGUUGCAGUGAUGCUGAAGACGGGCGACUCCCGGCAAGCCGCCCCCACCCUCCCCUCACCACGAGAGGCAGCCUCUGCCUCGCCUCGGAUUUCAGUGUCGCACCCGCUGUCUACGCUGCUUCCACACACACCCUUCCCUCCUUCACCCUGUCGGAGGGUAGUGGUCUUCUCUCCAUCCGAGGCUAGCUUUUCCUUCCAUGCUCAGAUCCCCUCCUCACCCUCGCUUCCUCAUUGGGCUUUGUUUCCUCACCUGAUACUUAUUUUCUUGUCCUCCGAGCCCCAUCCAAAGAAUAUUUCUCUCUAGAUUUCUUUUAGGCAUUCAAAGUGACCAAUCCCUCCUUUAAAAAAAAAUUAUUGAGGGGGGCGCCUGGGUGGCUCGGUCGGUUGAGCGUCCGACUUGGGCUCAGGUCAUGAUCUCACGGUUGGUGGGUUCAAGCCCCGCGUCGGGCUCUGUGCUGACAGCUCGGAGCCUGGAGCUACUUUGGAUUCUGUGUCUCCCCCUCUCUCUGCUCCUCUUCCACUCAUACGCUGUCUCUCUCUCUCAAAGAUAAACAUUUUUUAAAACUUUUUAAAAAACUCUCUCAAAGAUAAACAUUUUUAAAAAAUUAAAAAAAAAAUCUCUCUCUCCCUCUGCCUCUCUCCCCCACUUGCACUCUCCUCUCUCUUUCUAAAAUAAUAAUAAUAAUAAACGCUAAAAAAAAAAGCCCAUCAAGAGUUGAUUCAAAUAUGCUCUUCAUGGAGCAAAAUACUAGGCAUUCAUUAAAAGUGACAUGAAUCUGGGGCGCCUGGGUGGCGCAGUCGGUUAAGCGUCCGACUUCAGCCAGGUCACGAUCUCGCGGUCCGUGAGUUCGAGCCCCGCGUCGGGCUCUGGGCUGAUGGCUCAGAGCCUGGAGCCUGUUUCCGAUUCUGUGUCUCCCUCUCUCUCUGCCCCUCCCCUGUUCAUGCUCUGUCUCUCUCUGUCCCGAAAAUAAAUAAACGUUGAAAAAAAAAAAAAAAUUAAAAAAAAAAAAAGUGACAUGAAUCUAUUUUUGGCAUCAAUAACUUGCCAAGAUGACUUUAAAAAAAAAAGUUUCAGGGGUACCUGGGUGGCUCAGUCAGUUAAGCAUCUGACUCUUUGUUUUCAGCUCAGGUCAUGAUCUCCUGGUUCAUGAGAUCAAGCCCCACAUCAGGCUCUGUACUGCCAGUGUGGAGCCUGCUUGGGAUUCUCUCUCCCUCUACCCCUUCCCUGCUUGCGUACUCAUACACACACAUGCUCUCUCUUGAAAUAAGCAUUAAAAAUAAAUAAGUUAUAAAGCAACGAGUUAUGAAAGUAUAGGUAUAUAUACGUGACCGAGAGAAGAGCCCAAUUAUAACACUGGUUAAUUCUGACAAGUAAUAUCCAAAGCUCUUUGUUUCUGUCUCUUUAAAAAUCUCUGUGUUUUCUCAACUUUUUAAAAAAUAGUAUGUUUUACCUACCAGAAUAUAUAUAAAUUGAUCUGUGGAGCAAUAUCAUGACUGCCCUUAUACAUAAACUUUUGCGUACAUCUUGACGUUUUUAAGUACCCAUGUUUACUUGGUGAGGAGAACACAUACGAGAAGCUUUAAACAUGUAUUUUCAGAUUUCCUCUCUGGAAGGAAUGCAGAUAAAUAUUCACCAGCAGUAUUUGACCAUGCUGGUUCCCUAGGCCCUCACUGGACCCUGGGAGUGAUAGAUACAUCACUCGUUUCCUGCUUGGCCAGUUUGAUAGGUCAUCACUUCUGGUUGCUUUCUGUGAUGUGUGUCUCAUCUGAUUGGCAUUCAGAGAGUCACCCCUUUCACACUGGUGUUUGUAAACUCCUCAGAGUUGUGCUUUCCUCUUAGUCUCUGUUGUCUGCAUUUUUUUUUUUUUGGGCGGGGGGGGGGCUGGGUCCUUUUUUUUUUUUUUUNNNNNGGGGGGGGGGGGGUCUGGUUCCUUUUUUUUUUUUUUUAAUUUAUUUUAAUCUUUAUUUAUUUUUGAGAGAGACAGAGACAGGGUGCAAGCGGGAGAAGAACAGAGAGAGAGGAAGACACAGAAUCCGAUGCAGGCUCCAGGCUCAGAGCUGUCAGCACAGAGUCUGACAUGGGGCUCGAACUCAAGAACCUCGGGUUUAUGAAGUCGGACGCUUAACUGACUGAGCCACCCAGGCGCCCCUGUCUGGUUUAUUUUCUUAUGAGUAGUUAUCAAAAGAAUCAUUUUGAUAUUUGGAGCCCUUCUGUACCCAGUUCAAAAGUGUGAUAACUAAAAUAGUAAAUUCUUGAAUUCACUUGUUCAGAUCUCAAAAUCAUUUUUCCUCUAGUUAAGGCAGAACAGGGAGAGAAUUAGGAGUUUGAGCUUUACUGUUAGGCUGCCUGGGCGAAAAUCUUAGCGCUAUGACAGCAUACCAGCUGUGACCCUAGUCUAGCUAAAGAACUACGCCCGGUUCCCUCACCUGCGUGUGACACAGUGCCGGCACAGAACGAGCUCUCGAAUUGUUUGUUACUGCAAUCAUUACUGUUAUAAGAAGGGACACUCUUGAGUAGGUACAAUGGACUGAAAUGUGCCCUCUCCCCCAAAAAUGUAUAUGUUGUUUGUGUGCUUGCUUGAAAUGUUUUAUUUUAUUAUUUUAAAAAAAAAUUUUUUUAGCAUUUAUUUAUUUUUGAAACAGAGAGAACAGAGCAUGAACAGGGGAGGGUCAGAGAGAGAGGGAGACACAGAAUCUGAAACAGGCUCCAGGCUCUGAGCUGUCAGCACAGAGCCCGACGCGGGGCUCGAACUCACGAACCUUGAGAUCAUAACCCAAGCUGCGGUCCAAUGCUUAACCAACUCAGCCACCCAGGUGCUCUGGGAGAUAGCUGGUUUAAAUGAGGUCAGGAGAGGGGGGACCUUAUGAAGGGAUUAGUGCCUUUAUGAGAAAAGACAGCAGAGGUCUCUCCUCCGCAACCUUGUGAGGAGACAGGAAAGAAGCUGUCUGCAAACCCGGAGGAGAGUCCAGCAAAACUCAGUGAUGCUGGCCCUCUGAUCUUACAACUUGCAGCCUCUAGAACCGUAAGAAUUAAGUGUCUGUCGUUUGAGCCAGCAGUUCAUUGGUAUUUUGUUAGAGCGGCCUGAGUUGAUUAAAACAUACAGUUUUGUAGGGUGCCUGGGUGGCUCGGUCGAUAAGCGUCCGACUUGAGCUCAGGUCAUGAUCUCACUGUUUGUGGGUCGGAGCCCUGCGUCGGGCUCUGUGCUGACAGCUCGGAGCCUGGAGCCUGCUUUGGAUUCUGUGUCUCCCUCUCUCUCUGCUCCUUUGCCGCUCGUGCUCUUGCUCUGUCUCUUCUCUCAAAAAUAUAAGUAAACAUUAAAAAAAGAGAAGUACAGAAUUUCCUAAAUCACAAAAUCAUCUUUCAAAAAAAAAUGUAAAAAAAAAAACCCAAAAACCCCAUACAGUUUUGUUAUCACUGAGCGUGCAGCCUGGAGUUGUAGGUGAGAAAUAAAAGGAGUAAUGAUGAUAGAGCACGAGGUGUGUUUGGAAUGCAGGUGAAGUACAGAACACACAGUGACUGACCUCCACGCUUCUCUUGUGCCCGUGUUUGCCUUCUAGACUGUUCCUCAUUGGAAAACAGCAGUGAACUAGUGUUUUCCCAAGGAGCAAGAACUUGAUCCACCUGAAUUUGACUGCUAAUUUUGUGGAAUAUUAUGGAAUGAAGCUCCUGUGAGGCUUUGAGUCAUUCUGACUAUAAAAUGCAGGAUACGAUGCAGACUGUGUUCUGCAGCGUUCCAUCUAGGUGGCAUUUAGAAUGUAGGGAUUCUGUUAAUGGAUGAGAAAGCUGGAGUCCGUAUCUAUUUAGAAAAGGUUCAGUUCUGGGGCGCCUGGGUGGCGCAGUCGGUUAAGCGUCCGACUUCAGCCAGGUCACGAUCUCGCGGUCCGUGAGUUCGAGCCCCGCGUCAGGCUCUGGGCUGAUGGCUCGGAGCCUGGAGCCUGUUUCCGAUUCUGUGUCUCCCUCUCUCUCUGCCCCUCCCCCGUUCAUGCUCUGUCUCUCUCUGUCCCAAAGAUAAAUAAACGUUGAAAAAAAAAAAUUAAAAAAAAAAAAAAGAAAAGGUUCAGUUCUGAAUGACGCGUUUUUUCUAGUGGAGUUUUGAAUAAGUCUUUUUUUUUUUUAAUUUUUUUUUUUUAACAUUUAUUCAUUUUUGAGAGUAAGAGACAGAGCAUGAGCAGGGGAGGGGCAGAGAGAGAGAGGGAGACACAGAAUCCAAAGCAGGCUCCAAGCUCCGAGCUGUCAGCACAGAGCCCGACGCGGGGCUCGAACUCACAGACCGAGAGAUCGUGACCUGAGCUGAAGUCAGACGCUCAACCGACUGAGCCAUCCAGGCACCCCUGAAUAAGUCUUGUCAUCGUUCUAAUACUAGUUUUUCUUCCACCAAAUUCCCCCUGAUUCUUUUUUUUUUAAUUAAAAAAAUUUUUAAUGUUUUUAUUUAUUUUUCAGACAGAGAGAGACAGAGCAUGGGCAGGGGAGGAGCAGAGAGAGAGGGAGAGACAGAAUGCGAAGCAGGCUCCAGGCUCUGAGCUGUCAGCACAGAGCCCGACGCAGGGCCCAAACUGGACUGUGAGAUCAUGACCUGAGCUGAAGUCGGACGUUUAUCCGACUGAGCCACCCAGGCACCCCAAAGUCCCCCUGAUUCUUGAGAGUUUUCUUAUUGUGUAAAAGUGCUUCCUUUUUGGUUAGUAAAUCAGUAUUAGGGUAUUAUGAGAAAAAUUAAAAUGUUUCAACCCACAACUUCCUUAGAUUAAUACCAACUAUUUUAAGGUUUAUUUGUUCUGUAUGUGAACAAUUUCAUACGCUUGUUUAUUAAUAUUAUUUCAGUGACUCAUUUUAAUAUUUCUGUGUAAAAUAUCCAUGUAAUCUAUAAAGCCACAUUAUCUCCAAAAGAGUGUUGGUAAUAUGCAAUAUGUGUGGCCAGUGGGUGCCAGUCUGACCAUUCAAACCAGGGCCCAGGAGAGGAUCUGGUCUGUCCACCAAAGUUUAAGGUCCAGCCUUCAUUUUUAGGCUAAUAAGCUCAAGGUUUACAGUUAUUAGAGGGGAUUUUAUUUUGAGAGAUUGAUUGUAAUUAAACAAUUUGGCAAGACAGGUGUAAAAAUUCUAGACUAUAAAUGAAUGUAAAUAGAAGGGAGAGGAGAUUUGGAAUAUUUUAAUUUUCUGAUUAAAGUCAUUUUCCUCUGGAAGGAAAACCUCCUGGGAACUUUGGGGUGACUAGAUGAUCAUUUACUUAGGGGGAGAGUUUGAUGAUUUUAAACAUAGGCCAUAAAACUGCAACAUACAAACACAUGUAAUAAAGACUGUUGAUCAGAGACUCUUGGGGUCUCUUCCCCCCCUGCUGCCUGAGAUGUUCACCAGGAUUCUUCACUACUUCCUGGGCUGAUUGUUUUCCCCACAGUGGUAAUGAGCUGGGAACUUACUAGGAGAUACACUAGAGUACAAACUAUAGCCUGGAAGUUUUACAAGUGUGAACUUAGCAGGUGUGAAGUCUUUCUUCCCAAGAAUAUCUUCAAGAGGGGCAGACUAAGAGCGGCAAACAAAGCGGCAACAGGAUUAAUAGGAAAGGGUAACUGAAGGACAGGACCUAGAGCCAGUGUGCUGGUUGAUGCAGAAUGACCAGGUUCGCUGCAGCCGUCACUCAACUAAACCUACAUGCAAACAAAAGCUGGAGGACUGUUCCUGGAAGAAACGUGAAUGAGCUGCUUGAGGAGGGCCCCAGCUUGCAGCGAAGGAAAGCCCUUCUCACUUGGGCAUUUGGAAGGCUCCUCCUUCCUGCUCUCUGCCCGUGUACCCGUAAGUGAAGUCUCCCAUGUGAUAGUCCUGUAUGAGUGCGUACCUCACGUUGUCCUUCCCAUUCCUCGAGGAGGCCCGCUGGAGAAUUCUGGAGAAUUUGAACUCCCAGUGGCAGAAGAGACUCAGCCAGCCACCCAGAAGCCGGGUCCUUUGUUUUUAUGUAAUUUCUUUUAAAUGUUCAACUGAGAUUUACUACACCUGAAGAAAACCAAUGGCAGGUAAGAAAAAGACCUUAUUGAGCAAAGAGCUGGCCCAAGAGAGUAAGUGAAAAACUUUAGUAUCUACAGAAAGAUUUGAAGAUACUGCACCAUAAAUCAAGAAUAGGUUACCAUGGAAAAGGAAUAAUGAAAAAGAGUGGUUAGAAAUUUAAGAUGAUUGUCAAAAUAAACAUUUUCUAGUACUGGAAUAAAAAAUACAGUUUUCCCAAAAAGAUAAUUAGAAAAAAGAUAAGACGUCAGUCUAUAAAUCUACCAAAUAACUGAAAGAAUUUAAGAAGGAAAAAAUCGGGAAAAAAUGGAGGAAAAGAAAUCAUAGAAGGAUGAUAGUUUGGAUAAUUAGAGAUACACAUCUUUUUUACUGAAAAGUUGCUAAGCAUAGUGAAUUUAAGCAUUGUCUGUCUGUCUCACACACACUGCAAAUCCUUGCAAGAUUUUGGAAUACUAAAGAUAAUAGCCUGAAAGCAUCCAGAGAAGGAAAACAGAAGUUACCUAAGAAGGAGUGAGAAUCAGACUGGCCUCUGUUUUCUGGUCAGCAGAAAUGUGUGCUAGAAGAUACUGCAGCAGACGUUCAAAGUCCAGACAGAAAGGGUUUUUGAUACAGAAUUCGACACCCAAACAAUUAAGUAGAAAAUUGAAAAAGAUAUCUCAGAUAUGCAAAAAUUCACAUUUACUUCACAUCUACAUCUUUGUGCAAUUACUUAGUAUACUUUGGAGAGAAUAAGACAUCUAGUAAAAAGGACUCCACCCUAGGAAUGCGGUGGAAAAAAAUCCUAGGAUACCAGCUAUGUAGCAAGCCUGAAAAAUAAUGGGUUCACAUUAGAACAGGAUCCCAAAGGAUCAGAAUUCCUUGAAAGAAAAAGCGGAUUCCUGUUAAACAGUAAAAGUAAGAGGCUGGAUGAUCAUCACCAAAAGAGGAAAUAGCAUAUACUUCGUUUUGUCAAAUAAAAGGUUAUUAGAAACUCCAGGGAAAGCAAAGUUUUAUAAGGACAUGUUAGUCCGAGUACAAAAACUAAAGUGUAGCAUGAUUAUCAGCAACUGCUAGAGUGUAAAAAGAUUCGAUUUGACCUUGAUCCUUGAAGUGGUCAUUUUUGUGCGUGUGGCACAAGUUUAGUGACAGAGGAUUACAUUUCUUUCUCUAUGGAUCUAAUCUUAUUCCUUGGUUCUGCAGUGAAUCAUACAGAAGUACAAUCUCAAAUGCUAUAUACUCAAUUUGAAAUUUCAGAAUCUAUAUAUAAAAUACAGGAAACAAAAUGACUCCACUGUGUAAAGAUCAAAGUAAUAUAACCAAUAAGGAUAAAAGAGGUGCACAAAAGUUGGAAGAUGAUUUCCUCAUAUAGAAGUCAACAGAUCCAGGGCACCUGGGUGGCUCAUUAGGUUAAGCGUCAGGCUCUUGAUUUUGCCACAGGUCAUGAUCUCAUGGUUCAUGAGAUCAAGCCCCACAACAGGUUCUGCACUGACAGCAUGGAGCCUGCUUGGGAUUCUCUCUCUCCCUUUCUCUUUUCUCUCCCCCUCUCUCUACCCCUUCCCCCUGCCCCGUCUCUCUAAAUAAAUAAAUAUUUUAAAAAGUCAAGAGGUCCAUCUACUGUCAUAUCAAACUAAAGUAUUGAAAUGAGAAAAGCAGUGUAAAAUAGUUUGGGGCGGGGGGGGGGGGAGCCUCAGUGGACUCACUGAGUUGAAGACACGGUGCUCAGAGUCUCAGGAGACCAAGGCAGCCAGAGUUUAUGGGACAGCGAGCCGUGGAGGAGAGGACUGGGUAGGUAAAUGUAGAGAUCGGCAGACGGUUCAUACUGAGUGUUCACAGAGUACUGAUCAGCUCGUGUGUGAGGAAACCUGAUGUCAGAAAAAGAACAACUUGAGAGGGUUUGACAUCAGUGCUACAGGGCCCAAAAUAGCACCUGUUCCCACCACCAAGACUGGAAAAACCCAUUAGGCAUUGGGGAGAGUACUGAAAGAGUACUGAAAGUCUUGCUUUGGGGCACCUGGGUGGCUCGGUCGGUUAAGCAUUCAACCCUUGAUUUUGGCUCAGGUCAUGAUCUCACAGUUCAUGAGAUCAAGCCCUGUGUCAGGCUCUGUGCUGACAGCAUGGAGCCUGCUUGGGAUUCUUUGUCUCUCUCUCUCUCUCUCUCUCUCUCUCUCUCAUCUUCUCUGUAUCGUUCCAAUUUUAGUAUAUGUGCUGCCGAAGCUAGCACUGCUUCUCUCUCUCUAAAUAAAUAAGCAUUUUUUUUAAAGGUCCUGCUUCAUUAGUGGGGAAUAAUUAUCCUUAGGCUAAAUACAGUUCUAGUCCCACCCAACAAAUCUUAAAAAUAAGAUCAGAAAAGGAUCAGUUUCCAAAUAACUACAUCUUAAAACUGUUUCAAAGCUCUAAAAAUUUUGUAGGAACAUAAAAAUAUCCAGCAGUUAAUGUAAAAUUCACAAUGUCUGGCCCGGCUGGCUCGGUCAGAAGAGCACGUGACUCUUGAUCUCAGGGUUGUGAGUUCAAGGCCCACAUUGGGUGUAGAGUCAUUUGGGUGAUUCAGUCUGUUGAGCAUCCAGCUCUUGCUUUUGCCUCAGGUCGUCAUCCAAGGGUCAUGGGAUCAAGCCCCCAUUGAGCUCCACGCUGAGUGUGGAGCCUGCUUAAGAUUCUAACUCUGCCCCUCCCCCACUUGCACAUGCUCUCUCUCUAAAAUGAAAAUAAAAUUCACAAUGUCUAGCAUCUUAUCAAUGAUUAACAGGCUGAACAGUAUCAGCUAUCGGAUAACUUCGAAUGGCCUAAUAUACUUGUAAUUUGAAUUCCUAAAAGAGAUAAGAAAGAGGGGAGGAUAUAUUUGAGGAAAUAACGACCACAGUUUUCCCAAAUGGAUGAAUAUUAUAAACCUAUAGAUUGAAGCUCAGUGAGCACCCAAGAACAAGAAAUACACAAAAAUAUAUACCAACCACAUCAUAAUCAAAAUUUUUAAAACCAGUGAAAAAAAUCUGAAAGCUGUCGGGGUCAAGGGGUGUGUGGAUAGGGGCAGAUCCUACAUAUAGAAGAACAAAAGAAAACAGCCAAGUUAGACUUCUAUACCAAUUCUAUACCUUAUUUCAAAAACAGGUGAAAUGAAGACUUUAAAUUUUUUUUUUUUUUUUUUUAGAGGGCACAUGUGAGCAGAAGAGAGGGACAGAGAGAGUCUUAAGCAGGCUCCAUGCUGCCGGUGCACAGCCAGACACGAGGCUCGAUCUCACAAUCCUGGGAUUAUGACCUGAACUGAAAUCAAGAGUCAGACACUUAACCAACUGAGCCACCCAGGUGCCCCAAGACUUACUCAGACAUACUAAAGACAUAGCAGCAUACCCUCCCUACGACAGACAUCGAAGUCAUUCAGGCACAAGGAAAAUAGCACCAAAUGGGAACCUAGAUCUCCUUGAAGAAAUGGAAAAGCAUGGCAGCUACGUGUGUAUUUUUUUCUGAAACAAAACCUGACAUUUUUUUAGAAAGAGCCAAGCUGUUCAUAUGUCACUACAAAACUGAAACAGAGUUCUUCUUGAUUUCUGUUUGGAAUAAGGUAUGGAUCAUUGUAUCCUGUGGUGUCACCUCCUUAACUGAGCAGAAACAUCUAGAAAGUCAUAUCUGUGACUUCAGCUACCAGUUAGUGAUACCCACCCCUUCAUGAACCUGGAGUAUAAACAGUGGUGGGAGGCAAAUGUUUUCUCUUAAUAUUUUUUCAUUGUUUUAUUUAACUUGUUUCUGUGAUAAUGAAAUGGACAAAUUAUCUCCUCUUUGCUCCAAGUGAUAAUUUUUUUAAUGUGUAUUUGCUUUUGAGAGAGAGCAGGGGAGGGACAGGAAGAAGGGGGCACAGAGGAUCUGAAGCGGGCUCUGCGCAGUCAGCAGAGAGCCCCACAGGGUCUCAAACUCACAAACCGCAAAUCAUGUCCUGAGCUAAAGUCAGAUGCUUAACUGACUGAGCCACCCCAGCUCAGAUAAAAUUUUAAAAUAAUCGGUUCUCCAAUGUUUCUGGGACCCCCAAUCUGUUCUGUUAGUCAUUUUGUUUAAUCUUGCACCAGUACCAUACUGUCUUCAUUACUAUAGCUUUGGACUUGGUAUCCAGUGGGAUAAGUCGUCCAACCUUAUUCUCAAGAGUCCCUUAGUCGCUCUUGGCCCUUUGCUCCUCUGUACAUGUUUUGUUGGAGUCUGACAGUUUUCACAAAACAGAGGUGGAGUUGUGAGUUGUGUGUCAAAUAGGAUUAGAGGGAAAAUUUCUGCUUAAACUAUUUUUUUAAUGUUUAUUUUCAAGAGAGAGAGGGAGAGAGAGCGUGAGCAGGGGAGAGGCAGAGAGAGAGGGAGACACAGAAUCCGAAGCAAGCUCCAGGCCCUGAGCCGUCAGCACAGAGCCCGACGCGGGGCUCAAACUCACGAGCCAUGAGAUCGUGACCUGAGCUGAAGUCGGACACUCAACCCACUGAGCCACCCAGGCACCCCUUAAACUAUUUCUUAGGUGCAAAUAAAUAGUGUAUGUGUACUAUAAGCUUUAUUUAUUCUAGGUUUGUCUUUUUUUUUUUUAAUUUUUUUUUUCAACGUUUUUAUUUAUUUUUGGGACAGAGAGAGACAGAGCAUGAACGGGGGAGGGGCAGAGACAGAGGGAGACACAGAAUCGGAAACAGGCUCCAGGCUCCGAGCCAUCAGCCCAGAGCCUGACGCGGGGCUCGAACUCACGGACCGCGAGAUUGUGACCUGGCUGAAGUCGGACGCUUAACCGACUGCGCCACCCAGGCGCCCCAUUUAUUUUUUUUUUUAAUUUUUUUUUUUUUAGGUUUGUCUUUUUUAAGAUUUUCACAGGGUACUCCAUUUCGGGUUCACAUACGGUUUUUCUGAUUACUUUCAAGACUUUAGUUUGGGUCAUUGCUUACCUGUGUGUCUUCACUGAAUGUUUGAGGGACGUUUUGCACUUCUGAUUGUGACAAGUUUGCCUCUGUUCUUAACCACAAACAAAAAUCUCACAAAUACAAAGGUGGCCCAGAGUACCUUGGAGCCUGAAAGGGUGGCACAUUUGUGUAAGGCUUUGAAUCGCCCAGAGUGUAACCUGUGCAUACUCAGGUAAGUCCCAGCUGUUGCGCUGGAGAAUGUCUCCAGUGAAAAGGUGGUCAGUCUUACAGCGGCCCGUCAUGCUGACGGUGUCCUCUGGGGGUUGCAGUGGACAAUCCCCUCCCUUUGUUCCUCCCUCCGGUAGACUGGCCAGUAAAGCCAGGUCGAUAACAAAUAGUUAAUGGGCUUUAAGAAGAAGAGAUAAACUUACUAAACAAAUGUAAAACCUACCUCUCAGACUCCAGGAUCCCUCAUUUCACUCAAAACCCAAACAUUCAGAAUUUUAGCAUUCAGAUGUUCUCAUAUGUGUGCAGAGAAGAUCCAGGAUGGUAAGGAGUUCUCUGUCCUCCUGAGACCUCAGAGCCACAAAAGCAAAUGCAGGAAUUCCACAGAAGCACCCUGAAGGUUUCCCCAAGUUCAACACAGAUGAAUCAGUCUAUUCAGAUACACAUACAUUCACGGUUAGUUACAUACAGAUAAAAGCUCAUUCUCUUUUGAAAGGACCAAGUGACGGCAGUUGUUUGUGAUAUAACACUGUUGUAGAGGAAAGGUGGUUCUUACUUGCUUUAGCUUGUUCCUUGGCUGGGCAGUGGGGGGUUCUUGGCAUUCCACUGGAGGCAGGAACCAACGGUGGGGUGAGGAGAGUAACUCAGUCAAGAUAAGGGGAUGGACAAAUCCUCUGUGCUUGAGAGGCUAUGAGAAGGGUCACUUGGUGAGAACAAACUCCGCAGGUUUGUUUGGAUGCUGUGAAGUCCCACCAGGGUGCCUGGUGAGUCAGUUGAGCGUCCGCUCUUGAUUUCAACUCAGCUCAUGGUCCCAGGGUUGUGGAAUUGAGCCCCGAGUCGAACUCCACACUGGGCAUGGAGCCUCCUUAGAAUUCUCUGUCUCUCCCUCUGUGCCUCUCCCCUGUUCAUCCUCUCUCUCAAAUUAAAAAAAGAAGUCCCACCUGACUGUUGAGGAAGAUACUGGUGAUGAUCUUCCUGAUUUGAAGGCCUCUAAAUGUCUUCUCUUGGAAUGAUUCUGGAUAGAGAUGAAAUGAAAGCUAGAAAUGAAGCUUUAUCUGUAACAAGCCAGGACCGAAACCUCAUGAAGGUGUAUGUUGUGCUCUCUCAACAGCCCGAUCAACCAAAUGGACUGUAGUUGCUCUGCAUUGUUACCCAUGAGGUUCAACCAUCAGAACAUUUGGGGUUUGGUCCUGGCUGUGCACUUCGAACCUUGAAAGAGACCCUUUAAAGUCAUUCUAAAAUGCUUGUCUGUACUUAUUCUUUGAGAGGAUCAAGUAAGUUAAUGUUCUAGCACUUUGAAAGAGUAUGAGGUGGUAUUUACCCUUGGACAUGAAUCAAUAGAGUAGAAGAAACUUUAACCCUUAACCGACUUUGAUUAGGAAGGGAGAUUUGAAAGGAUGUCCGGGCACAACCCAAUUACAAGGAUUCUCAAGUGUCAGUCACCUCAAUCUCUCCUUUAUGUCUCGUUUUAUUGUGCCUGGCACGGCCUUAGUUAACACAUUGAUCUUUUAAUCCAUUUGCCUUCAUCCAGCCAUCCCCAAAAGCCUGCUUUCCCAGUUUCCAUUAUCUUUCACACUGGCCACUAGUAAUUCUCUAGAACUUACUUAAUUACAAAAUUCCUAUUCCAGUAGCUCCUUAGGGGACUACGAGAUAGAUCACAUUCUCUCUGUGGUAUAUAAGGCUUCUUCCCGUCUACCUGUUGGGUACUUACAAACGCUAAGUUAAUAUGUCUGACACCUAGGAUUUAAUAUAUCUAGUAUGAUGAUUUACAUAAGAGUAAUAAUAAUUUGUUAUAAAUGAUUAUAGGCAUAUAGAGAAUAUAUACUUUAAUAUACAAAAAUAUAUAAUAUAUAAAGUAUGUUAAGUAUAAAUAUAUUUUUAAGUUUAUUUAUUUUGAGAGGGAGAGGGAGAGAGAACAGCCAGGGGAGGGGCAGAGGGAGGGAGAGAGAAUCCCAAGUAGGCUCUGUGCUUAAUCCCACGAACUGUGAGAUCAUGACCUGAGCCGAAAUCAAGAGUCAGAUACUUAGCCUGCUGAACCACCCAGGCACCCAUAAAUAUAAAUAUAAAUAUAAAUAUAAAUAUAAAUAUAAAUAUAAAUAUUUUAAAUAAAAAUAAGUUAUAUAUAUAAUUAACUCCAUUUUCAAGCCCUUUCCUCUCUGUAGAGAACGAGAGAUGGGGCUGAAAUGUCCAAGCUUCUAACCAUAGCCUGGUCUUUUGGGGUGACCAGCCCCCCUCCAGAAGGCCACCAAGACUCACCUCAUUAGAACAAAAGACAUUGCUAUCACUUGUGAAGGGAUCCAAGGGAUUUAGGAACUGGAGUCAAAGGCCAAAUAUCAAAACAAAAUGUGGUAAUAGUUCUCUUACCACAUAGGAAUCCACAAAAGGAUUUUAGGAUUGCUGUGUCAGGAAUGAGGGACAGGGACCAAUAUAUGUCCUUUCUGUUAUCUCACAUUUACCGUUUACUAACACUUAGCCCAAAUCCCUUUGUCUUGUCAAUUCGUGACAAAUUUAGUAUUUCUUUGUCUAAAAGACUUAAAGCUUCCCUCCCUGGUCACUUUUUCAGGUCUCCAUUCUUUUGUGAAGGCCCCCUUGUACAUGUAAAAAUGUAAUAACAUUUGUAUGCUUUUCUCCCGCUAAUCUGUUUUAUAUUAGUUUUAAUUUUUUGGUCCAGCCAGUGACCCUAAGGGUAGAAGAGAAUUUUUUCCUCCCUUACACUAACAUCUUCAGUACAGUGUUGACUAGAAGCAGUGAUAGCAGGCAUCCUUGUCUUGUUCUGAUUUUGAAAGGAAGCUAUAUUAAUUCGCUGCUGUAACGAGGUACCACAAAUCGGGUGGCUUAAAUAAUAGGAAUUUAUCAUCUCGCAUUUCUGGAGGCUGGAAGUCCAAGAGCCGGCGGUCAGCAGGACUGGUUCCUUCUGAGACUGCGAGGGGCAAUCUGUUCCAUGCCUCUCCUGUAGCCUCUGGUGGUUUAUUGGCAACCUUUGGUGUUACUAGGCUGUAGACACAUCACCCUGACUUCUGCCUUCAUGUUCAUGUGACGUUCUCACUGUGUGGUUGUCUGCCUCUGUGUCCACAUUUCCUCUUUGUGAGGACACCAGUUCUAUGGGAUUAGGACUCACCCUAAUGGCCUCCUAUUAACUAAUUACAUCUGUAAUGACCCCAUUUCCAAAUAAGGUCACGUUCUGAGAUAUUGGUUUUUGUGGGACACAAUUCAGCCCAUGAGAAGCUCUGACACUUUGCUAUUAAAUGUAUUUGCCACGAUAACCUUUACUAGGUAAGUUCUUUUCCAUUUCCAGCUUGCUUAAAAGCUGUUAUCAUAGAUGUUAACCUUUAGUCAAUGUUUUUAUGUACUUAAUGAGAUUUACUAUAUGGCUUUUCAUAAUCUGCAG
rnacentral:lncRNA from 1 species